rnacentral:rRNA from 1 species
UAGGGAAUCUUGCGCAAUGGGCGAAAGCCUGACGCAGCGACGCCGCGUGCGGGAAGAAGGCCUUAGGGUUGUAAACCGCUUUCAGGAGGGACGAAGCCACUCGGGUUAAUAGCCCAGAGGGUGACGGUACCUUCAGAAGAAGCCCCGGCUAACUACGUGCCAGCAGCCGCGGUAAUACGUAGGGGGCAAGCGUUGUCCGGAUUUAUUGGGCGUAAAGCGCGUGUAGGUGGCCAUAAAGGUCCGCUGUGAAAACUCGAGGCUCAACCUCGAGAUGUCGGUGGAAACCAUGUGGCUAGAGUCCGGAAGAGGAGAGUGGAAUUCCUGGUGUAGCGGUGAAAUGCGCAGAUAUCAGGAAGAACACCAAUGGCGAAGGCAGCUCUCUGGGACGGUACUGACACUGAGACGCGAAAGCGUGGGGAGCGAACAG